rnacentral:rRNA from 1 species
UACGUAGGGAGCAAGCGUUGUCCGGAAUCAUUGGGCGUAAAGCGCGCGUAGGUGGCUUCGUAAGUCCGUUGUGAAAGUCAAAGGCUCAACCUUUGAAAGCCGAUGGAUACUGCGGAGCUAGAGUACGGAAGAGGCGAGUGGAAUUCCUGGUGUAGCGGUGGAAUGCGCAGAUAUCAGGAGGAACACCGGUGGCGAAGGCGGGACUCUGGGCCGAUACUGACGCUGAGGAGCGAAAGCGUGGGGAGCAAACAGG